CGGCAUGCCUUACACAUGCAAGUCGAACGGUAGAGGGGCAACCCUCGAGAGUGGCGAACGGGUGAGUAACGCAUCGGAACGUGCCCAGUAGUGGGGGAUAGCCCGGCGAAAGCCGGAUUAAUACCGCAUACGACCUAUGGGUGAAAGCGGGGGACCGUAAGGCCUCGCGCUAUUGGAGCGGCCGAUGUCAGAUUAGGUAGUUGGUGGGGUAAAAGCCUACCAAGCCGACGAUCUGUAGCUGGUCUGAGAGGACGACCAGCCACACUGGGACUGAGACACGGCCCAGACUCCUACGGGAGGCAGCAGUGGGGAAUUUUGGACAAUGGGCGCAAGCCUGAUCCAGCCAUGCCGCGUGCGGGAAGAAGGCCUUCGGGUUGUAAACCGCUUUUGUCAGGGAAGAAAUCUUUUGGGCUAACACCUCGGAAGGAUGACGGUACCUGAAGAAUAAGCACCGGCUAACUACGUGCCAGCAGCCGCGGUAAUACGUAGGGUGCAAGCGUUAAUCGGAAUUACUGGGC
rnacentral:rRNA from 1 species